UUGUAGUGCUCGUUCGUUUAGUUGGUGUAGUUUAUAGGUGUUUUAAUUAGUUUUGUUGUGUUUUUGUACAUUGUAUUUUUUCUACCCAUUUGAUCAUUCCAUCGUAGUUUUACAGUAUGUCAACUUUGGUGAAUGGCUUAAAUGAACGUCAUAUAAUUUCUAACGGACACUGUUCUCCGCCUGUUAAAGAGCAAGACGCUGUCAAAUUAUUUGUGGGACAAAUUCCUAGAAACUUAGAUGAUAAGGAUUUAAGACCUAUUUUUGAAGAAUUUGGACCAAUUUACGAAUUUACAGUUCUUCGAGAUAGGUUUACUGGACUCCAUAAAGGUUGUGCCUUCCUAACUUAUUGUAAUAAAGACAGUGCCAUAAACGCACAACACGAGUUACACGAACAGAAAACAUUACCUGGGAUGAACCGUCCUAUACAGGUUAAACCAGCAGACAGUGAAAGCAGGGCGGAAGAUAAAAAACUUUUUGUUGGUAUGUUAAAUAAGCAACAGACGGAAGACGAUGUAAGACAGUUAUUCCAGCCAUUCGGAACAAUUGAAGAAUGUACAAUAUUGAGAGAUCAGAAUGGUAACAGUAAAGGUUGUGCAUUUGUUAAAUUUACGACAGCAACGGAAGCCCAUUCAGCCAUUAGUGCUCUGCACGGAAGUCAGACUAUGCCUGUAAGUUUAAACAAUGGUGCAUCAUCUAGUUUAGUUGUUAAAUUUGCCGAUACAGAAAAAGAAAGACAACUCAGACGUAUGCAGCAGAUGACUGGUCCCCUGGGUCUGCUGAACCCUUUUGCAAUUUCCAAUCUUGGUGCUUACGGAGCGUACGCUCAGAUUCCACAACAACAAGCAGCACUGAUGGCUGCAUCACAAGGAGCUUACUUGGCCAGUCCAGUAACCUCUCUGGGUCAUAUUCCACAGAUUGGGGCGCUGGCCGCACCCAAUGGUAUUUCUACCAAUGCACUGACCCCAACUACAGCCACACUGGCUCUUUCAAAUGGUGCUGCUACCUUAAAUGGUGCCCCUCCCAGUGUUUUGUCCCCCACAUCAAUGGCAGGUUUCCAAAUGCAACAGGCUAAUGGACAAACACCAGAAAUUUAUGCUAACGGUAUUCCUCACUACCCUGGUGAGUGUCAGCUCGUUGACAUAGGUUAUGACCCGCAUUCACACUUUCAGACGUUGACAGCACGUAACAUUUCUCUACCUGUUGCAGCCCAAGUAGCCAAUGGUGACCCAAUCCAGGCAUAUGCUGUCCAAGCUUAUCCAGGAAUUGCUUACCCAGCUUUUGGAGCAAUUCAGCAAACACUUGCAGCACAAGCCGCAUUAUUACCUACGGCUCAGAAGGAAGUUAUACUUACAGGUCCAGAGGGGUGUAACUUGUUCAUCUAUCACCUGCCACAGGAGUUCGGAGACGCAGAGCUGGCUCAGAUGUUCAUGCCGUUUGGAACUGUUAUUAGUGCUAAAGUUUAUGUUGACCGUGCUACUAAUCAAAGCAAAUGCUUUGGAUUCGUCAGUUUUGAUAAUCCCACUAGUGCUCAGGCUGCCAUCCAGGCUAUGAACGGAUUCCAGAUUGGCAUGAAACGUUUGAAGGUACAGCUUAAACGCCCAAAGGAUGCUAACAGACCAUAUUAAACAGCAAUGUUCUUAUUUGCACAACUGGACAAGUCCAAAACUUCAGGACAUGUAGGGGUUACAGGAUAGUAAUAGAAAAAUGUAUACCCAAAUGGGACCCCAAUGGCACAAGAGUACUUAAGAAGAGGCCUGAUCACAAGGUUACUGUUUGUUUCUAGUGAUGGAACAAAUUUUGUAUAUAGACCCUUAUUUUUCACGAACGAAAUCCCACCAUUGUAGGUUUUGUAAAUACAUAGAAUAGAUAUACUUAAUUUAUUUAUCUUAGCAUUUAGCCCACCUUAAAUUAUUAAUUUGAAUACAAUUCAAAGUUUGAUUUUUUAUCAUACCUUCUGUAAGCAUGCAAUCUUGGUGAUUUAUAGACAUACAACUCAGUUCAUGUUAAGUUAAGUAGAUGUAUUGCACAUUGUGGUAUUGUGAAAAGAAAGAGAGAAGAAAACAUACCAAAUUUCAAAAUUGAAUACAGGGUACCGUAUACAGUUAUGUAUAAUACGUAUCCCCUAUACCAACUUAAAAAAGUAUGCAUUAUACACGAACAAAUAUGGUAUGUUUUAAAAGGUACCGUAUACAGUUAUGUAUGAUACGUUUCCCCUAUACCAACUUAAAAAAGUGAACAAAUAUGGUAUGUUUUAAAAUGUGGAGGACUAUGAUGCAGGAAAGAUUUAUUAAAACAUUUUAUAGAUUGUGUGCUUACAGAGGUGGACAAAAAGUUUUUAUUUUAAGAAUUGUUAUGAAUAUUUAUGAGGAGAUUACUAUUUGUUUAUUUAUUAUGAUGUUAAAAAUUGAUAAUAUUUAUAUAUUUUACAAUCUUUGUUAAAGUUCAUGCCCUCUUCAAGCAGAGUUUAGAUGGAUUAAGUUCUUACGACAUUCCAUAUAUUUUAUAUUGGUAUGUUAAAUCUGUGAAACAGUUCAUUGUUAUGGAGUAAAAUUGUGUAUUUGUAAAGAUGUAUCUAUCUAUUUAAAGUCUUGUGAGACAUCUUUUUCUAUUGGUUGUUGUCUGUCACGUGACACACUCAUUGUUGUCAUGGUAACCAAGGCAUUUAGGAUGUAUUAGAUAAGAUGACUGGUCAAUUUAUUUAUUUUUUGUGACUAUGGUAACACCAAGUGUUGAAUGUUGUUGUUCAAUCACAUGACCUUUUUUAUACGUGUCUAUUAAUUAAAGUUUGGUAAUUAAAUAGCUUAAAUUUUAUCAUUUUAAUUUUAAAUUGAAGAGGGCAUUGAAUAAAAAUUAUUUUUGUACAUAUUUCUCUUGCAUUCCUUAUUAAUAUGAAGUCAUGUUUAUUAUUUAUUGAAAACUUAUUUAUUUUAUUAUUCAUCAUAUUAUCAUUGAAUUAGAGAGCGUCCAUGACAUGGAUCAUCUGUAUCAUUGAGAUGUUUUAUAUUGUUGAAAAAAUGCUUGAUAAGUUGACAAAAAUGUUUAAAACUUUAUACGACCUGGUUGAAAUCAAGUCCUGCAAAGACAUCCCCAGUAAGUUGCAGAGAAUAAGCAAAUGGUUUCGACUAGGAGAAGAUUUCAUUGUUUUGUCAAGCAAGUGGUGUAAAUGAUUGAAAAGAAACAGUUUUAUAUCAUCAGAAAUAUUAAAGAUAGCUUCUAUUUUGUUAUUUUUGCUGUAAAAAUUCCUUAAAGAUAAUAAUUUCAUACCUUUAUUGAAAUAUAUGAUAUAUAUAUAUAUAUUUAAUUCUGUUAUUCAUUUUAGAACACAUUUUAAAAAGACCAAAAAUUACAAUUUUGUUGAGAUUCAAAGAUCGGCAUCAAAUCUGUUUCAUAUUUUCUUGGAUAAUUUUGUUUUUGAUAAGUUAUUUGCUUAAUUCGUUUUGCUAUUCUGCACCCCUAAAUUCUAAUUCUGUAUCAAACAAGGGGACAUAAUCCAAACGAAUGUGGGUAGUAAAUUUUUAACAGAAACACAAGAAAUUAAACUUUAAAGGUGUGUAGGUUAUGUUUGUUGACAGUUUUUAAAUUGCAUAUAGUUUAUUUGAGAUCAGGAACUGUUACUGUUGAAAUUUUGUUAUUUGGGUAUAACUGUUACUAUCGUUGUGAACAUAUUUUGAGCUUAAAAUUAUCGAGGCUUCCAUAAGGAUGAUUGCAGUUUAUUAUUAUUUGUGAUCCCAAAGAAAUGAAAUUUAGUUAAAAAUAGGAUAAAAAUUUGACUUUACAUGUUUAAGUGGAUUGAAAAUAACCGUAGUAAGAUUAGCCCUUAUGGAGGUCUCACUGUUAUAAAAAGAAAUCGGGCCAGGUUGCAAUAGUUGAGUAAACACACUCCUUGCCAUGUUAAAUCAUUGUAACGUAACACUAGUCAAUUUCUGUAUAAAAGUUAGUGAAUGAAAUGAUGAACAAAUUCAAUAUUGUAAUCAUGGUAAUAGCAUGUCGUUAAAUUUCCACACAGAUAGUGCUUUAGAUGUAAGGUCAUUUUAAUAUUUUAUGAGCAGCAGUCAUACAAUUGUUGUAUUAUUCUUCUCAGACAGUUCAACAUAGAGAAACUCCACUAAUCGGGGGAACUUCCUGCAGGGAAACCAUUAGUUAAGUUUCAAUUAUGUUAAAUUUUCCACCUUACAUUUCACAUGAACACAUUUUUAAUGUUCUUUUUUUUAAUUUAGGCAUUUCAUAGAAUCAACACAAAACAAACUAUUGCAAAAAGUCUUGAAAUUUUACAAUGCCAUUAAGAAUAUUUUGUGACUUUUUAGAAUUUUCUAGAAUAAGUAAAGACUGACUGUUGCUCUACAAAAUUUAAUGUACCCUAGUUAACUAUGUGUUUCAUGGAACAGUGUUUUUUCACUACAUUUUAUCAUAUGAUGACUGUAGUCUUCAACACAUUUUUUUUUUUAUACAAAAUAGAAAUUAAUAUAGAAACAGAAUGUUUUUAAAGUUUGUAACUACUUUUACAAAUCAAAUAAGUGUACUAAAUUUCUGAUAAUGACUUUAGACAAUCAGCUAUCUGUCGUUUUUUUUUUAAUCUAAAGAUAGACAUCUGUAUUAUGUCAUAUGACAAUGUUUGAGGAUGAAAUUAACAUGAGGUUAUUUCAUCGCAAUCAUUGUGAUAUUGAGAUAAGGCAGAUCGUCACAGUUUUAUAUGUUGUGAGUGAGCCGUUUAAGAACAAAGUUUUUUACACACUGUUGUGGAUUUUUAGCCGAGUUUUAGUAUAAGUGGUGAGCCAUUUAAGAACAAAGUUUUUUACACACUGUUGUGGGUUUUUAGCAGAGUUUUAGUAUAAGUGCAAUAUUACUUUUGAAUUCAAUGUCUCUAGUCAAAAAUUUCACCACAGAAUUCUUUCUUUCCUGAAAUGUCUCAUAAAAGUCUUCUUACAAAUAGUUUUAUUUCAAAUUUAUAAAUAUUUCUUUUUUGUUUACCAUUGAAAUAAAUUCUGAUCACAUGUAAGCUAACUAAUGAGUUUGAACUGUAUUUGAAUGGGACCAAAUUUACCUGGCACAAUACAUCUCUUACUAUUUCAUCUGUUGUCACUUCCCUCCCUUCUAUUUGACCAAAUGUGUGGUUAUGUACCUCUGUAGUAUAAUAUUCCGCUCUCAGGAAUAUUUAUUCGGUUUGUUCACAUCUUCAUUUAGAAUUCUGUGGUGUUAUUUUUUCUACUAAAGUGGUGCAAUAUUUAUUAUUUUUACAUGUUUUAGUUUUUUUUGGAGGACAAAGAAAUCUCAGAAUUUUAUGACCUUUUGACCUUUGAACUUGUCAAAGUGAAGGUUGAAAUUUACAUAAUUGUUUUAAUGUGUUAUGUGAAAGUAUAUAAUGAGUCAUACUGUUUAUAAUUUAUAUGGUUUGAUGAAGUUUUGAAUUUAUAAUUUGAAUUUAAAAUUCAGAAAAAAGUUCACAAGCUUAAAUUUGAAUAUAAUGACUCAAUAUGUAUUUAAUUUCAUCUGUAUAUAAUCAUAUAGUUUAGUUAAAUUAUUAUAAUGGUCCUCAUCUAAUUAAUUGGCAGUUCAUAGCUUCCCUAACAUUGAUAUAUGAUUUUUUUUAACAAUAAUGUUCUCAAAACUUCUUUGGAUUUUGUUUUAUAAUUGUUAAAAAAUUGUCUCAUUGAGAAAUCUUAUUAAUGAAUUUAUUAGAUUAGACUGUUAUUUACUGGGAGUAAAAUGUUAACCGUUUAAUAAGUAAAAUUCUAUAAUAAUCAGGAAUUUCAACUGUCAUAUUUGUAUCUGGAGUUUUUCAUUGUCAGAUUCUUUUUUUUCUUAUAAAUUCUAAGUAACAAAUCAAUUGAGGACCAGACAUGAAUAUAUUUUGUAUAUAUGAAAUGCUAUUGAGAACAAAGUUGAAACUUCACACUGUACCUGAAGUUUGUUCAUCCAUGCUCAAGUCAUAUCAUCACAAAUAAAAAAAGGUCAGUUAUUGACAAA